rnacentral:rRNA from 1 species
AACGAACGCUGGCGGCAUGCCUAACACAUGCAAGUCGAACGAACCCUUCGGGGUGAGUGGCGCACGGGUGCGUAACACGUGGGAACCUGCACUUAGGUUCGGAAUAACCCAGAGAAAUUUGUGCUAAUACGGGAUAAUGUCUUCGGACCAAAGAUUUAUCGCUGUUGGAUGGGACCGCGUAGGGUUAGCUAGUUGGUGAGGUAACGGCUCACCCAGGCGACGAUCCGUAGCUGGUCUGGGAGGUUGAACAGCCAAACUGGGAUUGAGACACGGCCCAGACUCCUACGGGAGGCAGCAGUGGGGAAUAUUGGACAAUGGGCGAAAGCCUGAUCCAGCAAUGCCGCGUGAGUGAUGAAGGCCUUAGGGUUGUAAAGCUCUUUUACCCGGGAUGAUAAUGACAGUACCGGGAGAAUAAGCCCCGGCUAACUCCGUGCCAGCCGCCGCUGUAAAAC